CGAAGGCAAACGCGUCCUCUGCCAGACUUCCUGUAGUUUCCGGGUAAAUGUCCUCUUCAGUGGAGUCACUAAAUGGAAAGAACCUGCACCAGGCAAUCGUGCUGGAUGAUGAAAAUUAGCUGGCUUGCAUUCUGCACAUGACGCAAGUCGAGCUACAAGGGCUACCAUCCUCUCAUUUAAUCUGAUGCUAGUGUGCAUUGAAGACCACUUAGAAAUGGGUGGUACCCCAGAGUAUAGGCAGCGUUGACGUGCCA